rnacentral:rRNA from 1 species
UACGUAGGGUGCAAGCGUUGUCCGGAAUUAUUGGGCGUAAAGAGCUCGUAGGCGGUCUGUCGCGUCGGAUGUGAAAAUCCAGGGCUCAACCCUGGACCUGCAUUCGAUACGGGCAGACUAGAGUUCGGCAGGGGAGACUGGAAUUCCUGGUGUAGCGGUGAAAUGCGCAGAUAUCAGGAGGAACACCAAUGGCGAAGGCAGCACUCUGGGACGUGACUGACGCUGAGACGCGAAAGCGUGGGGAGCAAACAGG